rnacentral:rRNA from 1 species
UACCAGCACCCCGAGUGGUCGGGACGAUUAUUGGGCCUAAAGCAUCCGUAGCCGGUCCUACAAGUCUUCCGUUAAAUCCACCUGCUCAACAGAUGGGCUGCGGAAGAUACUAUAGGGCUAGGAGGCGGGAGAGGCAAGCGGUACUCAGUGGGUAGGGGUAAAAUCCUCUGAUCCAUUGAAGACCACCAGUGGUGAAGGCGGCUUGCCAGAACGCGCUCGACGGUGAGGGAUGAAAGCUGGGGGAGCAAACCGG